AAGUCGUAACAAGGUUUCCUUCCCCCUACGAAGCCUUCUGCACCGACUCUAAAGGAUUGCACAGUUUGCCCCUGGCAAAGCGAUGCCACUACAAUGCUGAGACUCUUGAAUCAGCAGCCUUCUAGGCUCACAGAUCAAAUUGUGGUAACCAUUUAAUGGGCAAGAUAUGACCGGUCUUAACUGGAGCCAGUUAAGAAUCAACGUUCCGUAGGUGAACCUGCGGAAGGAUCAUUAUCGGGAGUGCCUUCGUGGCUUAACCUGCAACCCCAAUGUUUUAAUUACCCCUUGUUUCUUUGGCGGGCUCGCCCGUCAGAAGCAUUCUCAAACCCGUUAUAAACGUGUCUUCUGAUUAAUGAUAAAAUAAAGCAAAA
rnacentral:misc_RNA from 1 species